AUGGAGCGGGGGGUUUAUGCCACCUUUGUGCGUCAGUGGCCUGAUGAGCCUUGUUGUCCAUUUGUGAUGAAGAUUAUGUGGGACUUUCCUCAUAAAGGCUUCCAGGUAGAAGAGCAGCUCCCACCCAGUGUCCUGUCAGCGUACCCCUGGAUCCUCCUGGCUCUCUGGUGAGUUCAUAAGGUCACUCCUAUUUUGAGCACCUUAAAUAUAUAUCUAGAUAUCUGUAUUUACCAUAUCAAAAUGUAAAUAUUAGACAAUGUGUGUAGCAUGGAUACAUGUGCUAACAUUAUUGCUGUUUAACCACAGGGAGUCAGUGUUUCAUAGGAAAUCAGAACCAGAAUCAGAAUGAGAAAUACUUUAUUGAUGGGGGGGGGGGAAUUGCUUGUGUUACAGCUGCUCCCAUUGAAAAGUCGAUAAAAUGGGCAGAAAAAUAUAAAUGUUAUAUAAGCAAUAAUAAAACAAAGAAUAAAAAUAUAAGAAAUGUACAUCUGUAUACAGUGUAAUACAUGAUGCUACAGUUGAAAUAUGAGUUAUUGAGAUUGAAAUAAAGUAGAUAUUUGAAUUUGGAUUUUAAGCAAGUUGGGCCUAAUGUUAGAGUAAUUAAUGGCACUAGAUAUAAAGGUAGAUAUAUGUUUAUAAUAAGGCGUAUCUUCAGGUCCAGAGUACGCACUUUCAGGAUGUUUACGAAGUAACAAAAUCACUUGUGAUUCGUGACUACUCAUAACAGCUUCUAAUGAUUAUAUAUUUUAUAUGCCAACCAUUUGAUAUAAGUGGAAUAAACACAUCUACAUCUGAAGUUUCUAGAAGUCGUGACAGGUUCUUUGUGCCAUAAACUUGUGUGCAUGACACACACACGCCCAGACUCAAAACAACACAAAACCUGCUUGACAAGAUGUUCAUAGUUCACUGGAACUGCUGUAGAGUGCUUAAACUGCAAUUAUCAAGCUUCCAUGGAAGAGCUUUAUUGACAAAAUGACACACCUGUGUAUAUGCGAUUUACAUGCCCUUUAAAAACAUGUAUAGCGUCUAAAGGAUUCAGUGAGCAAAUGACAAGCUUGUACUAAAUAUAUUAGAAAAGGCUAAAACACAUUAUUUUUCAAUAAUUUUAGAAAUUCACCACACUGACUCCUUAAAUGCUUCGUAUUAAGUUUGACUUAACUCACCUGUUCCCACAAUACCCAUUCUUCAUUAUAAGUGCUGUGUUAUGAGAUUCCAUCUUCUCAUACCAUGACCCUGCCACGCCACACACACCCUUCUGUGUAAUCAUUGCUCUAACCCUUACCUUGAUUUUUAUUGUGCCAUUGUUUGUGUCUUAUGCUGAUGCACAACCACAAGUCUCGACAGCUAUUCACCACUGACUGACAUGUCAUGGAAUACAAUUUCAACACAGUAACCACAUUAAUUAUUGAUAUGGACUUCUGGAUGAAAUCAGAGGCCAAAGCAAAUUUUCCAUUGAGGUUGCCUUACUCUCUGUGCUUUUGUAACUGUCUCUAAAAUUUACAUAAUAAAGUCAACCGCAAUAGAGCUGCUCGAGAUAUUCGCAGUUUAGUCCAGUUAUUACAAUUGUUCAAACUAUUUUUUUUCGCUGUGUAUAACUGAAACCAUUUUAAUGCUGUCUAGUGACGAAAGAUCAGUAGCCAAUUCCUUAUCAACCAUCACCAUUGCAUUUAUGAAAUAAGAAAGCCUGAACGUCCCAAAAAAAUCUUAGUCAAGAAAGUUAGAGCAUACAAUAGAAAAUAUACUAAAUGUAAACAUACCAAAACCAAAACACUUCUUAAACCAGAAUAAAAUAGACAUAUGUACAUAGAUCACAAAGUUGUCAAUUGAAUGGUUUGUGUAACAUGACUUAUGAACAGCGGUAUUGUGUGUCUGGUGUUAACAAAGUUCUAACUUUCACAUUUACACAGACAUUAAUUUUUUUUCUUGUCAUUGUUGACAGACACGGAAUCUAGGGAAGAGAAACAAACCCUUCAAGCGUUGCUGAAAGAUCGCAUCACUAGGUGUGAGUCUCCAGAAAGAUAACCUGAAUCUCUGGAGUGAUAGAUGUGUGAUAGCCUGUUCAUGGUAGUUUUUUGACUUUCCAUUUGGAGAAGAGUGGCUGUCUCAAGGUUUUCUGUUGCAUAGGAGGUUUUUGUACUGUAGGUGGAGAUUUCACGUGGCAUGCAGAUUGAUGCCAGAGUACUGAACUUGAAAUCCAAGUCCUGGUCCCAGUCUAGGUCAAAGGAGAAGUUCGUCAUGGAGAUGGCAUCAAGCUCAGUUCUGGUCUCUGUGUCUUCCUCCUCAGCAUACACAUGAGGAGCAUAAUCACCCAGCUCCUCUUCCAGUGUCUGAAGAUUGAACAGCUUCUGCAUUAUACAGAAGGAAAAAAAAUAGAAGAUGAGAAGUUUUAGUCUUUUUAAAGAAAGAAACAGACUUAUCCUAGCUUGGUAGGGUUGAUUAAAUUAUUGUCAUUACCAUAUUUAGUGCUUGGGACAGAAAUUCACGGUGGACGCCAAUUUCAUAUUCUGUAGAAUAUUUAAUGGCUUUCAUCUGAGAAAUAAGAAGCAGUUAGUUAUAUGAUUUUAGUUGUUCAGUAAAUAACAUCAGAAGUCAGCUGUAACAUUUCAUAGUUAAAGCACAAUCUUUAUUAAACAAAGCUGUUUGCAGAGGAUCCAUGGAGAUGAGGUAUUUAUUUGUGGCUAUGUAAGAUUAAUACAUGUAAAAUUAACUUAUCCAACCCAAAUAAAUUUUGAAUCCUCCCCAGCAGCAUAAGAAGUAACUAUAAUAACUAUGCAGAAAUUGCUGAUGGUCUUUUUGCUUAUGCAGGACAUAUAGAGGCAUCAUUGUUAAAUUGAGGCAGUAGUAUGUUUUAACUCAAGGGAUAUAAAAACAUUAGAUGAUGAAAGAUUAAACAGGAAAAGGGCUCAUAGUAGUGUAGAUUGCAGUACCUUGCGCAUAAAUGAGUUUCUGCUCUGAUCUGUGGUUCUCAUGGUUGAUGAGGUACCUGUUGACUGUAAAUUCAAACAUUUCAGUUGUUAAUACGGUGCCGAAAUGGCAGCUUUUCUAAAACUUCUCAGUAUUACUUAGAUUUAAUAGUAAUGAUAAUAAUAUAGGUACCGAACGCCAGAAAUUCCCCCGUAUGAACUGUUGUCCCCCGACGCCCCACUGGUCUUGUGAUGUCUGAUUUUGCUGAGAAAAGCAAAUAUAAUUAAUGUCAUACCAUGACAAACAUCUUACUUAUAAAAUAAUUUUCAUUAGUGUCCGUUUGUUAGAACAAAUUAGUUUAUGUUUGGAUUUGUGGUUCUCAUGGUUGAUGCGGUAACUGUUGACUAGAAAUUCAAACAUUUCAGUGGUUAAUUGCUGAUGGUCUUUUUGCUUAUGCAGGACAUAUAGAGGCAUCAUUGUUAAAUUGAGGCAGUAGUAUGUUUUAACUCAAGGGAUAUAAAAACAUUAGAUGAUGAAAGAUUAAACAGGAAAAGGGCUCAUAGUAGUGUAGAUUGCAGUACCUUGCGCAUAAAUGAGUUUCUGCUCUGAUCUGUGGUUCUCAUGGUUGAUGAGGUACCUGUUGACUGUAAAUCCAAACAUUUCAGUUGUUAAUACGGUGCCGAAAUGUCAGCUUUUCUAAAACUUCUUAGUAUUACUUAGAUUUAAUAGUAAUGAUAAUAAUAUAGGUACCGAACGCCAGAAAUUCCCCCGUAUGAACUGUUGUCCCCCGACGCCCCACUGGUCUUGUGAUGUCUGAUUUUGCUGAGAAAAGCAAAUAUAAUUAAUGUCAUACCAUGACAAACAUCUUACUUAUAAAAUAAUUUUCAUUAGUGUCCGUUUGUUAGAACAAAUUAGUUUAUGUUUGGAUUUGUGGUUCUCAUGGUUGAUGCAGUAACUGUUGACUAGAAAUUCAAACAUUUCAGUGGUUAAUACGGUACCAAAACUGCAGCUUUCUUCAAUUGUUCUCAGUAUUACUCAGAUUCAAUAGUUAUAAUGACAAUGAUUAUAAAAACUACAGCAACAACUAUAAAGAUAAUAGUAUCAGUCUUGUGAUGUCUGAUUUUGCUGAGGAAAUCGAAUAUAAUUAAUGUCAUACCAUGACAAACAUCUUACUCCAUGGGUCCAUUUGUUAGAAUAAGCCUGGCAACGUAUUCCGUAUUUUUCUAGUUGUCAAAGCAAAAUACCUAAGCCAAGAGUUGGUUAGUCUGUCUUUCCGACUUUCCGACUUUUCCUGUCUGUUAAUUAAUCCCAGGCUCACGUGUUCUGAAUGAAAACGUAAAUAAAAAGUGUUUCAAAUCUUUACCGAAUAUGUGCUAUCAUUUUCGGGAAAUCCAAAGGUUCGCUAGAACAGCUGAGUACUGUGGUUUGUAGCAAACAUACAUGAACUGUAGUAAACAGUAAAUCAUUUAUUUAAGACUGUUUUCAGUUGAGGUUUGGUAUGCUGCGAGUAUUCACCAGCAAGAUGGUGCGUGUAUGAUUGACUCAAUGUGCAUUGUAGUGGCAGAGCAUUCUUCUCAGUGCAGUCUUUAUAUUAGUUAUUAACAAUGGAGGUCUAUGGCAAAGGGGAUAAGCUAUAUCAGGCUUUGGCUACUGUACACAGACAGUACUUGUUAGUAGGAUCAACAGGGUGCAGUUUAAAAAAAAAUAAAGAUAUAACCCAUUACCCAUAACUCCAUUUCGGAUAUUUUGUCAUUUGAAUGGGCUGCUCCCGCCGCCAUGUUGCCUGUCUGAAAAAAAAAGGCAUUUUAAGUCAAGUAAUGAUCACACGUAAUAAACUGGGGAAAAAAGUAUUUUAUGAUGCAAAAACGGAUUAAGAAAAGUUUGCUCAGCACUUACUCCAUUUGGAAUCAGAGCUGGAACUUGAGUCAUUGGUUGGUCUAGUUUCAUAAAGAUCACCUGUUGAAAAUUUGAAUACAGAAUCUGAAGUCUUUACAGCACCAGGUCAAAAUUAUUUUAGUGUGUAGAAUACUACACAUUCAGGAAAGCAAAAUUACAUUGCUUG
rnacentral:lncRNA from 1 species